rnacentral:lncRNA from 1 species
CAGGACUUGGAACAGUUUUGCUAGCAGAAAAUACGACUCUCUUCUAUGCUGUGGUAAAAUAGUACAACCACAAGGCCAGGAUCCAUAGAAUGUGACCAGCUGUUUCAGUGGUUUUCUGUUACUAUUUGUGAAGUCUUCAUUCUUGUCAUCUCUAGCAGAAGAGUGGUGCCAGUUGCCAGAGGUUUGAGGAAAAAGAAGUCAUGGGAGAAUUUACAUUUCAGAAAAUUCCAUUCAUUGACUUAAUUAUUUCUGGGAAUUCAGAAAAGACCACCAUGAUCCUUUAGCCGCGAAAACACUUGGGCCAGUUUUGGAAAUGCUAGAAUCCUGCAGGAGAAGCUUUUGAGAAAUUCAGUACUGUGCAGUGUUGUAACCCGAAUACUUUGCUGGAGAAAGGGUUACUGAGAGAUCAUAUUCACAAAUCAACGUGCAAUAGUGAAAAAAGAUGGCAACACUGAAGAACCUUACUGAAUAACCCACGAAGGUCAUAUGAUAGCUGCUUAAUAAAAUUUGCUGAUCGAAUGAAGGAGCUAAUGAAUUCAAUAAAAUCAGGGAAGGCUUCUUGGAGGAGGAGCACCUUGCUCCAGUGGGCUGAGAAGACAUUCCAUGAGACCAGAGCAAGGAGAGGAGUGGCCUGGCAGCUGAAGCCAGAGACAGACUUGAACCUGGAGUAGAGACAGCAUUUUACCAUGUUAUCCAGGCUAGUCUCAAACUCCUAGCCUCAAAUGAUCUGCCUGCCUCGGCCUUCCAGAGUGCUGGGAUUACAGGCUUGAGCCACUGCGCCUGGCUAAGUUUCACUCUUGUUGUCCAGGCUGGAGUGCAAUGGCGUGAUCUCAGCUCACUGCAACCUCCGCCUCCCAGGUUCAAGUGAUUCUUCUGCCUCAGCCUCCCAAGUAGCUGAGAUUACAGGCAUGUGCCACCACACCUGGCUGAUUUUGUAUUUUUAGUAGAUACGGUUUCACUAUGUUGGCCAGGCUAGUCUCGAACCCCUAACCUCAGGUGAUCCACCUGCCUCAGCCUCCCAAAAUGCUGGAAUUACAGGCAUGAG